rnacentral:rRNA from 1 species
GCUGGCGGCAGGCCUAACACAUGCAAGUCGAGCGGUAGAGAGAAGCUUGCUUCUCUUGAGAGCGGCGGACGGGUGAGUAAUGCCUAGGAAUCUGCCUGGUAGUGGGGGAUAACGUUCGGAAACGGACGCUAAUACCGCAUACGUCCUACGGGAGAAAGCAGGGGACCUUCGGGCCUUGCGCUAUCAGAUGAGCCUAGGUCGGAUUAGCUAGUUGGUGGGGUAAUGGCUCACCAAGGCGACGAUCCGUAACUGGUCUGAGAGGAUGAUCAGUCACACUGGAACUGAGACACGGUCCAGACUCCUACGGGAGGCAGCAGUGGGGAAUAUUGGACAAUGGGCGAAAGCCUGAUCCAGCCAUGCCGCGUGUGUGAAGAAGGUCUUCGGAUUGUAAAGCACUUUAAGUUGGGAGGAAGGGCAGUAAAUUAAUACUUUGCUGUUUUGACGUUACCGACAGAAUAAGCACCGGCUAACUCUGUGCCAGCAGCCGCGGUAAUACGAAUCACUAGUGAAUUCGCGGCCGCCUGCAGGUCGACCAUAUGGGAGAGCUCCCA